rnacentral:rRNA from 1 species
GAUGAAUGCUGGCGGCGUGCCUAACACAUGCAAGUCGAGCGGCAGCGCGAGUAGUUUACUACUUGGCGGCGAGCGGCGGACGGCUGAGUAACGCGUGGGAAUAUGCCCCAAAGUGAGGAAUAACUGCCCGAAAGGGUAGCUAAUGCCGCAUAUGAUCUUCGGAUUAAAGGAUUUAUCCGCUUUGGGAGUAGCCUGCGUACGAUUAGGUAGUUGGUAGGGUAAUGGCCUACCAAGCCGACGAUCGUUAGCUGGUCUGAGAGGAUGACCAGCCAGACUGGCACUGAGACACGGUCCAGACUCCUACGGGAGGCAGCAGUGAGGAAUCUUCCACAAUGGGCGAAAGCCUGAUGAGCAACGCCGCGUGCAGGAUGAAGGCCUUCGGGUUGUAAACUGCUUUUAUAAGCGAAGAAUAUGACGGUAACUUAUGAAUAAGCACCGGCUAACUACGUGCCAGCAGCCGCCGUAA